rnacentral:rRNA from 1 species
UACGUAGGGUCCGAGCGUUGUCCGGAAUUACUGGGCGUAAAGAGCUCGUAGGUGGUUUGUCGCGUUGUUCGUGAAAACUCACAGCUCAACUGUGGGCGUGCGGGCGAUACGGGCAGACUGGAGUACUGCAGGGGGAGACUGGAAUUCCUGGUGUAGCGGUGGAAUGCGCAGAUAUCAGGAGGAACACCGGUGGCGAAGGCGGGUCUCUGGGCAGUAACUGACGCUGAGGAGCGAAAGCGUGGGGAGCGAACAGG